UACGUAGGGGGCUAGCGUUGUCCGGAAUCAUUGGGCGUAAAGAGCGCGUAGGCGGCUAGAUAAGUCCGGUGUGAAAGUCACAGGCUCAACCUGUGAAUGCCGCUGGAAACUGUCUGGCUAGAGUCCGGAAGGGGCGAGUGGAAUUCCUGGUGUAGCGGUGAAAUGCGUAGAUAUCAGGAGGAACACCAAUGGCGAAGGCAGCUCGCUGGGACGGUACUGACGCUGAGGCGCGAAAGCGUGGGGAGCAAACAGG
rnacentral:rRNA from 1 species